rnacentral:rRNA from 1 species
CGGCGGACGGGUGAGUAACACGUGGAUAACCUACCUAUAAGACUGGGAUAACUUCGGGAAACCGGAGCUAAUACCGGAUAAUAUAUUGAACCGCAUGGUUCAAUAGUGAAAGACGGUUUUGCCGUCACUUAUAGAUGGAUCCGCGCCGCAUUAGCUAGUUGGUAAGGUAACGGCUUACCAAGGCAACGAUGCGUAGCCGACCUGAGAGGGUGAUCGGCCACACUGGAACUGAGACACGGUCCAGACUCCUACGGGAGGCAGCAGGC